rnacentral:rRNA from 1 species
UACGGAGGAUCCAAGCGUUAUCCGGAUUUAUUGGGUUUAAAGGGAGCGUAGGUGGAUUGUUAAGUCAGUUGUGAAAGUUUGCGGCUCAACCGUAAAAUUGCAGUUGAAACUGGGAGUCUUGAGUACAGUAGAGGUGGGCGGAAUUCGUGGUGUAGCGGUGAAAUGCUUAGAUAUCACGAAGAACUCCGAUUGCGAAGGCAGCUCACUAGACUGUUACUGACACUGAUGCUCGAAAGUGUGGGUAUCAAACAGG